rnacentral:rRNA from 1 species
GACGAACGCUGGCGGCGUGCCUAACACAUGCAAGUCGAGCGAGGCGAAAGGGAAAGGACCUUCGGGGAAUAGAACUUAAGCCUAGCGGCGGACGGGUGAGUAACGCGUGAAUAACCUGCCCUAUACAGGGGGAUAGCCUCGGGAAACUGGGAUUAAUACCCCAUAAUACUAACACAUCGCAUGAUGUGAUAGUCAAAGUGUCAGCGGUAUAGGAUGGAUUCGCGUCCCAUUAGCUAGUUGGUGAGAUAACAGCCCACCAAGGCAACGAUGGGUAGCCGGCCUGAGAGGGUGAACGGCCACACUGGAACUGAGACACGGUCCAGACUCCUACGGGAGGCAGCAGUGGGGAAUAUUGCACAAUGGGCGAAAGCCUGAUGCAGCGACGCCGCGUGAGCGAUGAAGGCCUUCGGGUCGUAAAGCUCUGUCCUAAGGGAAGAACGAGACGGUACCUUAGGAGGAAGCCCCGGCUAACUACGUGCCAGCAGCCGCGGUAAUACGUAGGGGGCGAGCGUUGUCCGGAAUUACUGGGCGUAAAGGGUGCGUAGGCGGUCUAAUAAGUCAGAGGUUAAAGGCUUCGGCUCAACCGAGGUAAGCCUUUGAAACUAU